rnacentral:tRNA from 1 species
GGCUCGUUGGUCUAGGAGUAUGAUUCUCGCUUUGGGUGCGCAGAUGAUCCCGGGUUCAAAUCCUGGACGAGCCC